UACGUAUGGGGCAAGCGUUAUCCGGAAUUAUUGGGCGUAAAGAGUGCGUAGGUGGUUACCUAAGCGCAAGGUUUAAUCUUGAGGCUCAACCUCAUUCUGCCUUGCGAACUGGGCUACUUGAGUGCAGGAGGGGAAAGCGGAAUUCCCAGUGUAGCGGUGAAAUGCGUAGAUAUUGGGAAGAACACCGGUGGCGAAGGCAGCUUUCCGGACUGUAACUGACACUGAGGCACGAAAGCGUGGGGAGCAAACAGGAUUAGAUACCCUGGUAGUCCCU
rnacentral:rRNA from 1 species